rnacentral:rRNA from 1 species
AGCAGCCGCCACGGGAAUACAGAGGGUGCGAGCGUUAAUCGGAUUUACUGGGCGUAAAGCGUGCGUAGGCGGCUUCUUAAGUCGGAUGUGAAAUCCCUGAGCUUAACUUAGGAAUUGCAUUCGAUACUGGGAAGCUAGAGUAUGGGAGAGGAUGGUAGAAUUCCAGGUGUAGCAGUGAAAUGCGUAGAGAUCUGGAGGAAUACCGAUGGCGAAGGCAGCCAUCUGGCCUAAUACUGACGCUGAGGUACGAAAGCAUGGGGAGCAAACAGGAUUAGAUACCCCCGUAGUCCCUGUCUCUUAUAC